rnacentral:rRNA from 1 species
AGAGCUUAAGGUGAAUGCCUUGGCACUGGGAGCCGAAGAAGGACGUGGCAAGCUGCGAAAAGCUGCGGGGAGCUGCAAGCAAGCAUUGAUCCGCAGAUGUCCGAAUGGAGCAAUCCACAUAGGGUAACGCCUAUGUAUCAUACAGUGAAUCCAUAGCUGUAUGAGGGGAACCGCCUGAACUGAAACAUCUAAGUAGGGCGAGGAAGAGAAAUCAAACGAGAUUCCGCUAGUAGUGGCGAGCGAACGCGGAAGAGGCCAAACCAGAAGCAGCAAUGUUUCUGGGGUUUAGGACUGCAUUUAGCAUUGACAAGGGUUAGCCGAACUGCAUGGGAAGGCAGACGAAACAGGGUGAGAGUCCCGUAGGUGAAAACUUGAGUCAGCGAGCAGGAUCCAGAGUACCGCAAGACACGUGAAACCUUGUGGGAAGAUGGGGGGACCACCCUCCAAGCCUAAAUACUACCCAGUGACCGAUAGCGCAAAGUACUGUGAAGGAAAGGUGAAAAGGACCCCGGGAGGGGAGUGAAAUAGAACCUGAAACCCUAAGCUUACAAGCACCGAGAGCACGUCAAAGUGUGAUCGGGUACUUUUUGUAGAACGGUCCGGCGAGCGUAUGUAUGCAGCAAGGUUAAGGACCUAAGGUCCGGAGCCGAAGCGAGAGCAAGUCUGAAUAGGGCGUCAAGUUGCAUGCAUAGGGCCCGAAACCGGGUGACCUAUCCAUGUCCAGGCUGAAGUUGGGGUAAGACCCAAUGGAGGGCCGAACCGACCUCCGUUGAAAAGGCGGCGGAUGAGGUGUGGAUAGCGGAGAAAUUCCAAUCGAACCCGGAGAUAGCUGGUUCUCCCCGAAAUAGCUUUAGGGCUAGCGUUGUAUAUGAUUACCGGAGGUAAAGCACUGAAUGGCCUAGGGCCCUAACGGGUACCGAAGCCUAUCAAACUAAGAAUGCCGGAUAAUUUGAGUACAGCAGUCAGACUAUGGGAGAUAAGUUUCAUGGUCAAAAGGGAAACAGCCCAGACCCACAGCUAAGGUCCCAAAUAUGAUUUAAGUGGAAAACGAUGUGGGGUUGCGAAAACAACCAGGAUGUUGGCUUAGAAGCAGCCACUCAUUUAAAGAGUGCGUAAUAGCUCACUGGUCGAGUGACCCUGCGCGGAAAAUUCAACGGGGCUAAAAUCAUAACCGAAGCUUGGGAUGCAUUAAUGCAUGGUAGGGGAGCGUUGUGUAAGGGGUGAAGUCACAGCGAAAGCGGUGGUGGACAUUACACAAGUGAGAAUGCCGGAAUGAGUAGCGCGAAUUGUGUGAGAAUCAUAAUGGCCGAAAGUCUAAGGUUUUUGGAGGAAGGUUCGUCCGCUCCAAGUUAGUCGGGAGCUAAGGUCAGGCCGAAAGGCGUAGCCGAUGCACAUACGGUAGAGAUUCCGUAACCGUCAAAAGAUUUAAGCAAAGGGACACUUUGGGAAGGUACAAGCCAGGCGUUGGUAGCCCUGGCCGUAAGGGACUGAAGUUUAGUAGGGAAGUGUACUGGAACAGAGGCGAGAAAAGCUUUGUGUAUAUCUGAGAUGCCCGUACCGCAAACCGACACAGGUAGAUGGGAAGAGAAUUCUAAGGCCAACGGGAGAAGGGUUGUUAAGGAACUCGGCAAGUUGACCCCGUAACUUCGGAAUAAGGGGUGCUCACGAGAGUGAGCCGCAGAGAAUAGGUCCAGGCGACUGUUUAGCAAAAACACAGCUCUAUGCUAAAUCGAAAGAUGAUGUAUAUGGGGUGACACCUGCCCGGUGCUGGAAGGUUAAGAGGAGAUGUGCAAGCAUUGAAUUGAAGCCCCAGUAAACGGCGGCCGUAACUAUAACGGUCCUAAGGUAGCGAAAUUCCUUGUCAGGUAAGUUCUGACCCGCACGAAUGGUGUAACGAUCUGGACACUGUCUCAACAACCCGCCCGGCGAAAUUGUAGUACCGGUGAAGAUGCCGGUUACCCGCGACAAGACGGAAAGACCCCAUGGAGCUUUACUGUAGCUUAAUAUUGGAUUUUGAUAUUUCAUGUACAGAAUAGGUGGGAGACUGAGAAGCAGAGGCGUCAGCUUCUGUGGAGUCGCCUUUGGGAUACCACUCUUGAAGUGUUGAAAUUCUAACCUGCAGCCAUGAAACUGGCUGGGGGACAUUGUUAGGUGGGCAGUUUGACUGGGGCGGUCGCCUCCAAAAAGGUAUCGGAGGCGCUCAAAGGUUCGCUCAGCAUGGACGGAAACCAUGCCCCUGAGUGUAAACGCAAAAGCGAGCCUAACUGCGAGACUGACGGGUCGAGCAGUAACGAAAGUUGGAGUUAGUGAUCCGGCGGUAUGUGAGUGGAAAUGCCGUCGCUCAACGGAUAAAAGCUACCCUGGGGAUAACAGGCUGAUCUCCCCCAAGAGUCCACAUCGACGGGGAGGUUUGGCACCUCGAUGUCGGCUCAUCACAUCCUGGGGCUGUAUUCGGUCCCAAGGGUUCGGCUGUUCGCCGAUUAAAGUGGUACGCGAGCUGGGUUCAGAACGUCGUGAGACAGUUCGGUCCCUAUCUGUCGUGGGCGUAGGAUAUUUGAAGGAAGCUGUCCCUAGUACGAGAGGACCGGGAUGGACGCACCUCUGGUGCACCAGUUGUCACGCCAGUGGCACAGCUGGGCAGCUACGUGCGGAACGGAUAAACGCUGAAAGCAUCUAAGCAUGAAGCCGCUCCUGAGAUAAGAUAUCCCACUGGGUUAACCAGGUAAGACCCCUUGA